CUUGCAUUAUGCUUGCAGGUGCCGCCCAAGGAUGGGGCCGCGACCGAUCAGGUUGUUGGUGAGGUAAUGGCUCACCAAGCCUUUUACCGGUGCGGGCCGUGAGAGCGGGAGCCCGGAGAUGGGCACUGAGACAAGGGCCCAGGCCCUACGGGGCGCAGCAGUCGCGAAAACUUUGCAAUAAGCGAAAGCUUGACAGGGCUAUCCCGAGUGCCAUCCGCUGAGGAAGGCUUUUACCCAGUCUAGAACGCUGGGGGAAUAAGGAGAGGGCAAGUCUGGUGUCAGCCGCCGCGGUAAUACCAGCUCUUCGAGUGGUGUGGAUGUUUAUUGGGCCUAAAGCAUCCGUAGCUGGCUAGGUUAGUCCCUUGUUAAACCCACCGAAUUAAUCGUUGGAUUGCGGGGGAUACUGCUUGGCUAGGGGACGAGAGAGGCAGACGGUAUUUCCGGGGUAGGGGUGAAAUCCUAUAAUCCCGGGAAGACCACCAGUGGCGAAGGCUGUCUGCUAGAACGCGCCCGACGGUGAGGGAUGAAAGCUGGGGGAGCGAACCGGAUUAGAUACCCGGGUAGUCCCAGCUGUAGACGAUGCAGGCUAGGUGUUUGGACGGCCACGUGCCGUUCUAGUGCCGCAGGGAAGCUGUUAAGCCUGCCGCCUGGGGAGUACGAUCGCAAGGUUGAAACUUAAAGGAAUU
rnacentral:rRNA from 1 species